UACGUAGGGGGCUAGCGUUGUCCGGAAUGACUGGGCGUAAAGGGCACGUAGGCGGUGAAUCGGGUUGAAAGUGAAAGUCGCCAAAAAGUGGCGGAAUGCUCUCGAAACCAAUUCACUUGAGUGAGACAGAGGAGAGUGGAAUUUCGUGUGUAGGGGUGAAAUCCGUAGAUCUACGAAGGAACGCCAAAAGCGAAGGCAGCUCUCUGGGUCCCUACCGACGCCUGGGGUGCGAAAGCAUGGGGAGCGAACAGG
rnacentral:rRNA from 1 species